rnacentral:rRNA from 1 species
UACGUAGGAGGCGAGCGUUGUCCGGAAUCACUGGGUGUAAAGCGCGUGUAGGCGGCCUGCCAAGUCUGCUGUGAAAGCGCCUGGCUUAACCGGGCGAGGUCGGUGGAAACUGGCGGGCUGGAGGACGGUAGAGGGGGGUGGAAUUCCCGGUGUAGUGGUGAAAUGCGUAGAUAUCGGAAGGAACACCAGUGGCGAAGGCGACUACCUGGCCUGUUCUUGACGCUGAGGCGCGAAAGCUAGGGGAGCAAACGGG